GUAGGUGGCAAGCGUUGUCCGGAAUUAUUGGGCGUAAAGCGCGCGCAGGCGGUUCUUUAAGUCUGAUGUGAAAGCCCACGGCUCAACCGUGGAGGGUCAUGGGAAACUGGAGAACUUGAGUACAGAAGAGGAAAGCGGAAUUCCACGUGUAGCGGUGAAAUGCGUAGAGAUGUGGAGGGACACCAGUGGCGAAGGCGGCUUUCUGGUCUGUAACUGACGCUGAGGCGCGAAAGCGUGGGGAGCAAACAGGGAUUAGAUACCCUGGUAGUCCACGCCGUAAACGAUGAGUGCUAAGUGUUAGGGGGUUUCCGCCCCCUUAGUGCUGCAGCUAACGCAUUAAGCACUCCGCCUGGGGAGUACGGCCGCAAGGCUG
rnacentral:rRNA from 1 species